UCUCCGUAGGUGAACCUGCGGAGGGAUCAUUACAGAGUUCGUGCACUCGCGGGUCGUUCUCCCACCCUGUGAUAUUGCUACCUUUGUCGCUUUGGCGCGCCCCCCGCGGCUGCCGGCCCCGGCUGGUACGGGCCCGCCAGAGCCCCCCAAACCCUGAACGUCAGUGUCGUCUGAGUACUACACAAUAAUUAAAACUUUAAACAACGGAUCUCUUGGUUCUG
rnacentral:misc_RNA from 1 species